AAGUCGUAACAAGGUAACCGUAGGUGAACCUGCGGUUGGAUCAUUAACAAAAAACUACUUUAAAGUUUCUUUUUUUUUUUAAACCAAAAAAAAAAGACUUUAAAACAUUUUGUGAACCUUUAUAAACAUUUUAAACAGUAAUUCAAAAAUUUGGCCUUUAAAACAAAAACAUUUUUGUUUUUAAAAUUUAAAUUUAUUUAAAAAACAACUUUUGACAACGGAUCUCUUGGCUCUC
rnacentral:misc_RNA from 1 species